CCCAAGAGAUCGGAUAACACCUAGGAAACAGAUGAUAAUACCGGAUAACAACAGAUGAUGCCUAUCAACUGUUUAAAAGAUGGUUCUGCUAUCACUCUUGGAUGGACCUGCGGUGCAUUAGCUAGUUGGUAGGGUAACGGCCUACCAAGGCGAUGAUGCAUAGCCGAGUUGAGAGACUGAUCGGCCACAUUGGGACUGAGACACGGCCCAAACUCCUACGGGAGGCAGCAGGA
rnacentral:rRNA from 1 species